rnacentral:tRNA from 1 species
CCGCCGCGGGCGGCGGCGAGGCGCCCGGCCGCCCCUUGCGCGGCCGAGACCCGCUGUUCCAGCACGGCCGCCGUGGC